rnacentral:rRNA from 1 species
UUCAGGAUGAACGCUGGCGGCGUGCCUAAUACAUGCAAGUCGAACGCUUUGUGGUUCAACUGAUUUGAAGAGCUUGCUCAGAUAUGACGAUGGACAUUGCAAAGAGUGGCGAACGGGUGAGUAACACGUGGGAAACCUACCUCUUAGCAGGGGAUAACAUUUGGAAACAGAUGCUAAUACCGUAUAACAAUGACAACCGCAUGGUUGUUAUUUAAAAGAUGGUUCUGCUAUCACUAAGAGAUGGUCCCGCGGUGCAUUAGCUAGUUGGUAAGGUAAUGGCUUACCAAGGCGAUGAUGCAUAGCCGAGUUGAGAGACUGAUCGGCCACAAUGGGACUGAGACACGGCCCAUACUCCUACGGGAGGCAGCAGUAGGGAAUCUUCCACAAUGGGCGAAAGCCUGAUGGAGCAACGCCGCGUGUGUGAUGAAGGGUUUCGGCUCGUAAAACACUGUUGUAAGAGAAGAAUGACAUUGAGAGUAACUGUUCAAUGUGUGACGGUAUCUUACCAGAAAGGAACGGCUAAAUACGUGCCAGCAGCCGCGGUAAUACGUAUGUUCCAAGCGUUAUCCGGAUUUAUUGGGCGUAAAGCGAGCGCAGACGGUUAUUUAAGUCUGAAGUGAAAGCCCUCAGCUCAACUGAGGAAUUGCUUUGGAAACUGGAUGACUUGAGUGCAGUAGAGGAAAGUGGAACUCCAUGUGUAGCGGUGAAAUGCGUAGAUAUAUGGAAGAACACCAGUGGCGAAGGCGGCUUUCUGGACUGUAACUGACGUUGAGGCUCGAAAGUGUGGGUAGCAAACAGGAUUAGAUACCCUGGUAGUCCACACCGUAAACGAUGAGUGCUAGGUGUUUGAGGGUUUCCGCCCUUAAGUGCCGCAGCUAACGCAUUAAGCACUCCGCCUGGGGAGUACGACCGCAAGGUUGAAACUCAAAGGAAUUGACGGGGACCCGCACAAGCGGUGGAGCAUGUGGUUUAAUUCGAAGCAACGCGAAGAACCUUACCAGGUCUUGACAUCCCUUGACAACUCCAGAGAUGGAGCGUUCCCUUCGGGGACAAGGUGACAGGUGGUGCAUGGUUGUCGUCAGCUCGUGUCGUGAGAUGUUGGGUUAAGUCCCGCAACGAGCGCAACCCUUAUUACUAGUUGCCAGCAUUCAGUUGGGCACUCUAGUGAGACUGCCGGUGACAAACCGGAGGAAGGUGGGGAUGACGUCAAAUCAUCAUGCCCCUUAUGACCUGGGCUACACACGUGCUACAAUGGCGUAUACAACGAGUUGCCAACCCGCGAGGGUGAGCUAAUCUCUUAAAGUACGUCUCAGUUCGGAUUGUAGGCUGCAACUCGCCUACAUGAAGUCGGAAUCGCUAGUAAUCGCGGAUCAGCACGCCGCGGUGAAUACGUUCCCGGGUCUUGUACACACCGCCCGUCACACCAUGAGAGUUUGUAACACCCAAAGCCGGUGGGGUAACCUUCGGGAGCCAGCCGUCUAAGGUGGGACAGAUGAUUAGGGUGAAUCU